rnacentral:lncRNA from 1 species
CCUGGCUGGCCUGGAAUUCACUGAGUUCUCAAACUCAGAAAUCCUUCUGCCUCUGCCUCUGCCUCUGCCUCCUGAGUGCUGAGAUUAAGGGUGUGUGCCACCAUGCCCAGUGUUCUGCUUGCCUGUAUGCAUGUACAACACAUGGGUGUCUAGCAUACUCAGUUUCUCCUGAAACUGAAGCCAUGAGUGCUGGGAACUGAACUUGGGUCCUCUUCAAGAGCAACAUGUGUUCUUAAUUGCUGACUAAUUGCUCCAGCCAAACACCUUAAAUAAGAAAAAAAGGAAGAGUAUAGCAGGCUUUCUUGUACUGCCAGCCUCCAAAUCAUGGCAUGGAGACUUACUAUGAUGCCUGACCUUAGCUUAGGGUUGUCCACUAGCUCUUUAACUUAACCACUUGUUUCUCUUCAUCACUUUGCCUUGGAGAUUUUUUACCUUACUUUCAUUCUGUAUGUCCUACUGUACUGUUUCCUCCAGGUCUGUCUGCCCCUCCCCUCCCGCUGUCUGUCUGUCUGUCUGUCUGUUAUUUUCUCUCUGCCUGCCAGCCCCACCUAUCCCUUCUCUAUCUGGUUCUUGGCCAUUCAGCUUUUUAUUAGUUCAAUCAGAUGCCUUAGGCAGGCAAGGUGAAAGAGCAUCACAUCUUGCUAUUGGCCAUUCAGAUCUUUGUUAGACCAAUUAGGUGCUUUAGACAGGCAAAGUAACACAGCUUUACAGAAUUAAACAAAUGUAGCAUAAACAAAAGCAACAUAUCUUUACAUAAUUAAACGUAGCAUAAACAAAUACACCUUUAUAUAAGUAAACUAAUGCUGCAUAAACAAAUACAUCUUUACAUAGUUAAACAAUUAUUCUGAAACGUAUCUUUACAUAGUUAAAUAUACUAUUCCACAAAAAAAAAAAAAAAAAAAAUGCAGAUGCUUCCAGAGACCAGAAGAGGGCAUCAGAUCCCUUGAAGCUGGAGUUGCAGGCAGGUAUGAGCUGCCUGAUGUAGGUGUUGGGAAUUAAACUCAGGUCUUCUGCAAGAGCAGUACUCUCAUAAGCACUGAGCCUCCUUCUCCACCCCUCUAAUUCCUCAUGUACUCACAAGGAUGGUCUUGAACUCCUGCCCUGACUCCCAAGUGCUGAAAUUACUGGCUUACAUUUUCAGCAGUGUCUGAGUUAGGGUUUCUGUUUCUGCCAUGAAACACCAUGACCAAAAUGCAAGUUGGAGAGGAAAGGGUUUAUUAGACUUAUACUUCAGCAUUGCUGUGCAUUAUUGAAGGAAGUCAAGGCAGGAACUCAAACAGGGCAGGUUCCUGGAGGCAGGAGCUGAUACAGAGGCCAUGGAGGGAUGCUGUUACUGGCUUGCUUCUCGUGGCUUGAUCAACCCACCUUCUUAGAACCCAGGACCACGAGUCCAGGGAUGGUACCAUCCACCAUGGGCUGGGCCCUCCUCUCAUUGAUCACUAAUUGAAAAAAAUGUCUUACAGCUGGAUCUCAAGGAGGCCUUUCUUCAGCUGAGGCGCCUUCCUCUGUUGACUCUAUAGAGCUUGUGUCAACACACAAAGCCAUCCAGUACAAACUGUAAAAUUUUGUGAAAAAUAAAAGCCAGAUUACCUCUUUCAAAUCAAAGUGCAGAUUCCCUUGCCAAGUUACAGACAUGUUUGAAUGUGAAACUGUUGUGCCCAAAUUCUGAAUCCCCAAAUCACCAAGAGGCCCAUUUCGAUGCAAAAGCAAUGAGUCUUUUAUUGCAUUUGUUUAACGAGCUAACAUGGGGUUAGCUCCGGCCUUUCAUCCAUCCACCAUGGCGGAUGGUGGGGAAAAGACACCGAGAAACCACAGGGCAAAGAUCUUAUAGGGCAGCGUAAGAGGAGUGUAUAGGGGUAUGCACAGGCUCAGGAUUGGUGUGCCUCCAGGCUUGGAGAGCUUGCCCUGUGUUGAUUGGUCAACUGGUUGUUAUGUCAUUGUUGUGCACUUGUCCACAAAGCACACCCAGAGCCAUAAAGCGUAGCACCACCAGCUAACUUCUGAUUGGUUCCUUGCCCCAAGGCAGGCUUCUGACCUCUUAGUGACUAAGGCAAGGUCAGGCAAGCACGUGCUAGGCUGUUAUGGCUGCCGAAACACGGAGCUGGUCCCUUCAAAACAUACAGGGUUUCUCUAUGUAGCCCUGGCUGUCCUCGAACUCAAGAGACCCGCCUGCCCCCGCCUCCGGAGUGCGCCACCACCCCAGGCCUUCGCAGUGAAUUUUUCAACCGGUUGGAAAACAGGCUGGAGAGAGGAUCCAAACCCUGGUACGUCGACGAACUUCAACUCCUUUCGGACCGGGACUCCAUCCUGGGUCCCCACUCGCUGCCGCGCCAUCUUGUCUCAGGGGUGCUCCAAAUGUUCACGGCCGCUGUCCUCAAGGCCAGGAGUCCCUCAGAGGAGCUCCCGGAAACGCUCACCAGCGGACAAACGGAGGCCAGAGCGCCGCCAUCACGCUUGCCUCUUCAUGCUUUUCACUGAGCCGGAGGGCGGCUUCCAGCGCAGCCCUCCUUGUGCCGCGACAUUAGCCAAUCACAUCUCAGAAGCCUACUGAAGCCCCGCCCCGUGGUCGCUAGUCAAUCACGGCGAGUUCUG